AAUCAACGCUGGCGGCGUGCCUCAGACAUGCAAGUCGAACGAUUAAGACUUCCUUCGGGAAGUGUAUAAAGUGGCGCACGAGUGAGUAACACGUAAGUAAUCUACCCUCGAGUGGGGAAUAACGUUCGGAAACGAACGCUAAUACCGCAUAAUGCAGCGGCAUCGCAAGAUGACAGUUGUUAAAGGAGUAAUUCGCUUGAGGAGGAGCUUGCGGCAGAUUAGCUAGUUGGUAAGGUAACGGCUUACCAAGGCUACGAUCUGUAUCCGGUCUAAGAGGACGGUCGGACACACUGACACUGAACAACGGGUCAGACUCCUACGGGAGGCAGCAGUCGGGAAUUUUGGGCAAUGGGCGAAAGCCUGACCCAGCAACGCCGCGUGAAGGAUGAAGUAUUUCGGUAUGUAAACUUCGAAAGAAUGGGAAGAAUAAAUGACGGUACCAUUUAUAAGCUCCGGCUAACUACGUGCCAGCAGCCGCAGUAAAAC
rnacentral:rRNA from 1 species